rnacentral:rRNA from 1 species
GAUAAGCGCCGGUAAGGUGAUAUGAACCGUUAUAACCGGCGAUACCCGAAUGGGGAAACCCAGUGUGAUUCGUCACACUAUCAUUAACUGAAUCCAUAGGUUAAUGAGGCGAACCGGGGGAACUGAAACAUCUAAGUACCCCGAGGAAAAGAAAUCAACCGAGAUUCCCCCAGUAGCGGCGAGCGAACGGGGAGGAGCCCAGAGCCUGAAUCAGCAUGUGUGUUAGUGGAAGCGUCUGGAAAGGCGCGCGAUACAGGGUGACAGCCCCGUACACAAAAGCGCAUGUGCUGUGAGCUCGAUGAGUAGGGCGGGACACGUGGUAUCCUGUCUGAAUAUGGGGGGACCAUCCUCCAAGGCUAAAUACUCCUGACUGACCGAUAGUGAACCAGUACCGUGAGGGAAAGGCGAAAAGAACCCCGGCGAGGGGAGUGAAAAAGAACCUGAAACCGUGUACGUACAAGCAGUGGGAGCNNNNNNNNNNNNNNGGGCGUUAAGUUGCAGGGUAUAGACCCGAAACCCGGUGAUCUAGCCAUGGGCAGGUUGAAGGUUGGGUAACACUAACUGGAGGACCGAACCGACUAAUGUUGAAAAAUUAGCGGAUGACCUGUGGCUGGGGGUGAAAGGCCAAUCAAACCGGGAGAUAGCUGGUUCUCCCCGAAAGCUAUUUAGGUAGCGCCUCGUGAAUUCAUCUCCGGGGGUAGAGCACUGUUUCGGCUAGGGGGCCAUCCCGGCUUACCAACCCGAUGCAAACUGCGAAUACCGGAGAAUGUUAUCACGGGAGACACACGGCGGGUGCUAACGUCCGUCGUGAAGAGGGAAACAACCCAGACCGCCAGCUAAGGUCCCAAAGUCAUGGUUAAGUGGGAAACGAUGUGGGAAGGCCCAGACAGCCAGGAUGUUGGCUUAGAAGCAGCCAUCAUUUAAAGAAAGCGUAAUAGCUCACUGGUCGAGUCGGCCUGCGCGGAAGAUGUAACGGGGCUAAACCAUGCACCGAAGCUGCGGCAGCGANNUGCUGGAGGUAUCAGAAGUGCGAAUGCUGACAUAAGUAACGAUAAAGCGGGUGAAAAGCCCGCUCGCCGGAAGACCAAGGGUUCCUGUCCAACGUUAAUCGGGGCAGGGUGAGUCGACCCCUAAGGCGAGGCCGAAAGGCGUAGUCGAUGGGAAACGGGUUAAUAUUCCCGUACUUGGUGUUACUGCGAAGGGGGGACGGAGAAGGCUAUGUUGGCCGGGCGACGGUUGUCCCGGUUUAAGCGUGUAGGUGUGUGUUCCAGGUAAAUCCGGUUCACUUUAACACUGAGGCGUGACGACGAGGCACUACGGUGCUGAAGCAACAAAUGCCCUGCUUCCAGGAAAAGCCUCUAAGCAUCAGGUAACAUCAAAUCGUACCCCAAACCGACACAGGUGGUCAGGUAGAGAAUACCAAGGCGCUUGAGAGAACUCGGGUGAAGGAACUAGGCAAAAUGGUGCCGUAACUUCGGGAGAAGGCACGCUGACACGUAGGUGAAGUGAUUUACUCAUGGAGCUGAAGUCAGUCGAAGAUACCAGCUGGCUGCAACUGUUUAUUAAAAACACAGCACUGUGCAAACACGAAAGUGGACGUAUACGGUGUGACGCCUGCCCGGUGCCGGAAGGUUAAUUGAUGGGGUCAGCGCAAGCGAAGCUCCUGAUCGAAGCCCCGGUAAACGGCGGCCGUAACUAUAACGGUCCUAAGGUAGCGAAAUUCCUUGUCGGGUAAGUUCCGACCUGCACGAAUGGCGUAAUGAUGGCCAGGCUGUCUCCACCCGAGACUCAGUGAAAUUGAACUCGCUGUGAAGAUGCAGUGUACCCGCGGCAAGACGGAAAGACCCCGUGAACCUUUACUAUAGCUUGACACUGAACAUUGAGCCUUGAUGUGUAGGAUAGGUGGGAGGCUUUGAAGUGUGGACGCCAGUCUGCAUGGAGCCGACCUUGAAAUACCACCCUUUAAUGUUUGAUGUUCUAACGUGGACCCGUAAUCCGGGUUGCGGACAGUGUCUGGUGGGUAGUUUGACUGGGGCGGUCUCCUCCUAAAGAGUAACGGAGGAGCACGAAGGUUGGCUAAUCCUGGUCGGACAUCAGGAGGUUAGUGCAAUGGCAUAAGCCAGCUUGACUGCGAGCGUGACGGCGCGAGCAGGUGCGAAAGCAGGUCAUAGUGAUCCGGUGGUUCUGAAUGGAAGGGCCAUCGCUCAACGGAUAAAAGGUACUCCGGGGAUAACAGGCUGAUACCGCCCAAGAGUUCAUAUCGACGGCGGUGUUUGGCACCUCGAUGUCGGCUCAUCACAUCCUGGGGCUGAAGUAGGUCCCAAGGGUAUGGCUGUUCGCCAUUUAAAGUGGUACGCGAGCUGGGUUUAGAACGUCGUGAGACAGUUCGGUCCCUAUCUGCCGUGGGCGCUGGAGAACUGAGGGGGGCUGCUCCUAGUACGAGAGGACCGGAGUGGACGCAUCACUGGUGUUCGGGUUGUCAUGCCAAUGGCACUGCCCGGUAGCUAAAUGCGGAAGAGAUAAGUGCUGAAAGCAUCUAAGCACGAAACUUGCCCCGAGAUGAGUUCUCCCUGAGACUUAGAGUCUCCUGAAGGAACGUUGAAGACGACGACGUUGAUAGGCCGGGUGUGUAAGCGCAGCGAUGCGUUGAGCUAACCGGUACUAAUGAACCGUGAGGCUUAACCUUACAACGCCGAAG